GAUGAACGCUGGCGGCGUGCCUAAUACAUGCAAGUCGAGCGAACGGACGAGAAGCUUGCUUCUCUGAUGUUAGCGGCGGACGGGUGAGUAACACGUGGAUAACCUACCUAUAAGACUGGGAUAACUUCGGGAAACCGGAGCUAAUACCGGAUAAUAUUUUGAACCGCAUGGUUCAAAAGUGAAAGACGGUCUUGCUGUCACUUAUAGAUGGAUCCGCGCUGCAUUAGCUAGUUGGUAAGGUAACGGCUUACCAAGGCAACGAUGCAUAGCCGACCUGAGAGGGUGAUCGGCCACACUGGAACUGAGACACGGUCCAGACUCCUACGGGAGGCAGCAGUAGGGAAUCGUACGCAGUGGGCGAAAGCCUGACGGAGCAACGCCGCGUGAGUGAUGAAGGUCUUCGGAGCGUAAAACUCGGUUAUGAGGGAAGAACAGAUGUGUAAGUAACUGUGCACAGCUUGACGGUACCUAAUCAGAAAGCCACGGCUAACUACGUG
rnacentral:rRNA from 1 species